CAGUCGCCACGGUAAUACGAAGGGUGCAAGCGUUACUCGGAAUUACUGGGCGUAAAGCGUGCGUAGGUGGUGGUUUAAGUCCGUUGUGAAAGCCCUGGGCUCAACCUGGGAAUUGCAGUGGAUACUGGGUCACUAGAGUGUGGUAGAGGAUAGUGGAACUUCCGGUGUAGCAGUGAAAUGCGUAGAGAUCGGAAGGAACAUCUGUGGCGAAGGCGACUAUCUGGGCCAACACUGACACUGAGGCACGAAAGCGUGGGGAGCAAACAGGAUUAGAUACCCCUGUAGUCCCUGUCUCUUAUAC
rnacentral:rRNA from 1 species